UACGUAGGCAGCGAGCGUUGUUCGGAUUUACUGGGCGUAAAGGGUGUGUAGGCGGUUGCUUAAGUUUGGUGUGAAAUCUCCCGGCUCAACUGGGAGGGUGCGCCGAAUACUGAGUGACUAGAGUGCGGGAGAGGAGAGUGGAAUUCCUGGUGUAGCGGUGAAAUGCGUAGAUAUCAGGAGGAACACCGGUGGUGUAGACGGCUCUCUGGACCGUAACUGACGCUGAGACACGAAAGCGUGGGUAGCAAACAGG
rnacentral:rRNA from 1 species